rnacentral:guide_RNA from 1 species
AUUGUAUUUAUUGUGAGAGUGAUUAGUUAUAAUGU